rnacentral:tRNA from 1 species
GCGGGUAUAGUACAGUGGCAGUACGCGACCUUCCCAAGGUUGAGACACGGGUCCGAUUCCCGUUACCCGCUCCA